UGUGACCCCGGCGCGUACACGACGCGUGGGACGAGGAGGGCCGCAGGGGUACUGCCAGGAAGUGUCGCGAGAGGUGGAGGGAAUCGCGCGAGAUGUGGCUCCUCCCUGCGGGCAGAGAGCCGGAGCGCGGGGCCGCUGGGCGUGCGGGUCGUAAGUGCGCUGUGCCCUCCGCCCUGAGCCCGCGGGCGGUGUGAGGCCGGAGUUUUGAAGUAUAUGAAGACAAUCCAGCCUCACUCAACUAUGUAGUUGGAGAAGGAAAGAGUAAUUUUCAUAGCCUUUUCAGUGACAAGCUCACUUUGUUUUUGUGGGGAUUCAGAAGAGCCAUCCCAUGAUGUGCGUUAAGUGGUAUGUGGAUUAUUUUUGAGCUAAAGGCAAAGGAGAUCUUGUGGGCUCAAGAGAAACUUCUUCCCCCACACCCUUCACUAUCUGGAGGACUUUGAAUGAGAAGCCUUGCCCAUAAUAAGAGAUUAUCAGGGAUAACCUUUUUGGACCUACUUAUAUGGUAGGACAAACUACUAAUUACUGAACAUGUGCUCUCCCUGCAAUGACCUUCUGAAGCCCCAAGGUGCCUUCCCUGAUUUCUACCUCAAAUGUUUUAUAUAUCCAUUUUCCCUUUCUGUUUAAACCUCUCAUGUAUGUGGGGUUCCUAUGCACAUGAAAGUAAAUUUUAUUUUCUCUUGUCAAUUUCUUCUUGUUGAUUUGAUUAUUCAGCCAGCCAAAAGAACCAGAGGAAGGAAAGGGGAAUUUUUCCCUUCCCAUAUUUUCAAGAAAAGUUCUGCCAAAUACCUAACAAUUGCAAUAGCAAGUCAAAUAAAAAUGUUCCAUGAAAAAAAGAGUAGCUGGUUCAGUUACCAAUUCAAAUAGUCAAGUGCCUUUUCCUCAAGAGACCAGCAUACUUCAGAAGGUGGAAAUGUUUUAUGCAUAUUAUUUUGUCAUAUAGAAUAUGAAAAAGUAUGAACUUAGGGUUAAUAAAAUUGGUUUUUGCUGCUUGAUGAAGAGUAUUCUUAAGUGAAACUGGUACUGUUUUUUAUUAUGAAUGCACAGCAGUGGACAAUGACUGAUUGUACAGUUUGUUUCCACUGCCUUAAUUCCUGCCUAAGGCGCCAGCAGUUUUACCCACCAGUACUUUUGUAUCAACAGAGCGGGGGGAAAGGCAAAUCAUGUCUUAGAUAUUAAGGAAUAGUUUGUGAUCCCUGAAAAGGUUUCUACAACCUCACCCCCAGAGUCCAUGGACCACCCUUUGAGAACUAUAGCAAUUAAAUAUGCCCACCCUAGGGUUUGGGAUAUAAAAGUAUUGAAUAAUACAAUACGUACUCUGAAGGAGUUUACAGGAGAGACAAACAGGUAAGCAAAGAAAUAUAUCUUGUUGAAUGCUAUAACAAGCAGGGAUCAAUUACUCUUUGAUUACAAAAGAAUAAUCAAAGACCACCCUUACCUCUAGAAAUUUUCUUUCAGUGAGUCUUUGGUGGGAUUCAGGAGUCUGCAUUUUAAAACAAGCACUACAGAUGGUUUAGAUUCAGGUAGUGUGAGAUCCACACUUUGAGAAAAACUGCCUUAACCAGUAUAAAUUUCAGGUUCCCAAGAAGGCCCAGUAGGUAGUAUCAGAGAUAAUGUCUUAUGGUAUAUCUCUCAAAAAACACUGCUUAGUUUCACUGGCUAUUGUUUGCAGCUAAAUAACAAAUCUACCAGCAAAACCCUGGCCAGUGUGGUUUGGUUGGCUAAUGGCUCCGUGCACUGAAGGGUGGUGGGUUUGAUUCCUGGUCAGGGCACAAGCAGGAGGCAACCAAUCGAUGUCUGCCUCUCUCUAAAUCAGUUAUUUAAAAAACAAGUCUGCCAACAAAGACUUAAAAGGUAAAAUCUGAAAUAAGCUCUACUUUUUCCCUUUCAAUUCUCUAGUGCAGGGGGCCAGAUAAAUAUUUUAGGCUCCUGUGGGUCAUAAGGUUUCUGUCGUAGCUAAUCAGUUCCCCUGUUGUGGCCAAAAGCAGCCAGAGACAAUGAGUAUGUUUUUUGAGAGAUGCCAUAAGACAUUAUCCCACUAAAACUUUACUUACAGCCUUAACCGGUUUGGCUCAGUGGAUAGAGCGUUGGCCUGCGGACUGAAGGGUCCCAGGUUCAAUUCCGGUCAAGGGCAUGUACCUUGGUUGCGGGCA